CGUGCUUUAUACAUGCAAGUCAAGGAGAACGUUUUCUUCGGAAAGCAAGUAAACUGGCGAACGGGUUAGUAACGCGUAGGUAACCUGCCCUAGUGAUCGGGAUAACUCUGUGAAAACGGGGCUAAUACCGGAUAAUAUCUACUCUCUCUGGAGUUUAGAUCAAAGUAGGCUUCGGCUUACACAUUAGGAUGGGCCUGCGUCUGAUUAGCUAGUUGGUAAGGUAAUGGCUUACCAAGGCUACGAUCAGUAGGUGGUUCGAGAGGAUGAUCACCAACACUGGGACUGAGAUACGGCCCAGACUUCUACGGGAGGCAGCAGUAAGGAAUUUUGCGCAAUGGCCGAAAGGUUGACGCAGCAACGCCGCGUGAUUGAAGAAGGUUUUAGGACUGUAAAGAUCUGUCAUAAGGGAAGAAAUGUAUUUAUUCUAACAAAAUAUUUGCUUGACGGUACCUUAUUAGAAAGCUCCGGCUAACUUCGUGCCAGCAGCCGCGGUAAUACGAGGGGAGCAAGCGUUGUCCGGAUUUAUUGGGCGUAAAGAGUUCGUAGGCUGAUUUAUAAGUCGAAAUUGAAAUCCAAUGGCUUAACCAUUGACACGGUUUCGAUACUGUAAAUCUUGAAUUAUGCAGAGGUAAGUGGAAUUCCUGGUGUAGCGGUGAAAUGCGUAGAUAUCAGGAGGAACACCAAAGGCGAAGGCAACUUACUGGGCAUCAAUUGACGCUGAGGAACGAAAGCGUGGGUAGCAAACAGGAUUAGAGACCCUGGUAGUCCACGCCGUAAACGAUGAGUACUUGGUGGUGGAAGAUUCGACCCUUUCACUGUCGGAGUUAACGCGUUAAGUACUCCGCCUGGGGACUACGGCCGCAAGGCUGAAACUCAAAGGAAUUGACGGGGACCCGCACAAGCGGUGGA
rnacentral:rRNA from 1 species